AUAUUUACCUGGCAGGGGAGAUACCAUGAUCUAGAAGGUUGUUCACCCAGGGCGAGGCUCGGCCAUUGCACUCUGGCUGUCUGACCCCUGAAAAUUCCCCAAAUGCGGGAAUCUCGACUGUAUAAUUUGUGCUAGUGGGGGACUGCGUUUGCGCUCUCCCCUC
rnacentral:snRNA from 1 species